rnacentral:rRNA from 1 species
GACGAACGCUGGCGGCGUGCCUAAUACAUGCAAGUCGAGCGCAGGAAGACGUUCUGAACCCUUCGGGGGGACGACGGUGGAAUGAGCGGCGGACGGGUGAGUAACACGUAAAGAACCUGCCCAUAGGUCUGGGAUAACCACGAGAAAUCGGGGCUAAUACCGGAUGUGUCAUCGGACCGCAUGGUCCGCUGAUGAAAGGCGCUCCGGCGUCGCCCAUGGAUGGCUUUGCGGUGCAUUAGCUAGUUGGUGGGGGAACGGCCCACCAAGGCGACGAUGCAGAGACGACCUGAGAGGGUGCUCGGCCACACUGGGACUGAGACACGGCCCAGACUCCUACGGGAGGCAGCAGUAGGGAAUCCUCCACAAUGGACGAAAGUCUGAUGGAGCAACGCCGCGUGAACGAUGAAGGCUUUCGGGUCGUAAAGUUCUGUUGUAAGGGAAGAACAAGUGCCGCAGGCAUUGGCGGCACCUUGACGGUACCUUGCGAGAAAGCCACGGCUAACUACGUGCCAGCCGCCGCAGUAAAAC